AUCCUUGAUUUGCUCCAAUGGUAUCUGGAGAGUGUCUGCCACCCUUUUUGCCAGCUCCUGGAAUAGACAAAAUUUGUCUGCCAAAGAUGGUGGUGAAGGUGUGAUGCUUUUGUCUGGAGAAGAGGAAGAUAUCGUCCACGAUGUCACUUCUGCCUCUGUACCAGCUUCAUGUUCCUCUAUCUCUUCAGGCUGUUCCAAAGCUUUGGAUGCUGCGGCCAAGGGGGUGUGCCCUGAGGGUUCUCAGAUAUAGAAAUGGGAGCUUUGUAUCAUUGGAAAGGGAGAUUCCCAGCUCUUCAAUCAGAUCCAGCACUUACCUUCACCCUGGGACAUUCCCAAGAAUGGAACUUUAAUUGAGGUAUACAAAACCUAUUUCUGGCCAUUUUAAAAAAUAUUUAAGACUCCUUGUAAACCCUUAACAGUUGAACUCAUGGUUACCAAGAUACCUGGCUUUACAGGGAAGAGAUACAAAAAUACUCAAUAAAAAAAUCUUAAAACUC